rnacentral:lncRNA from 13 species
GGGGGGGGGGGGGGGGGGGGGCAUUUAAAACCACCCACGGUCACCCCAGAUACUCACCCAGGUGAGUGAAGACAGGUGCCCUGUUGGCAAUGUGAACCUGGGUGGCAUUCACUGGAAAGGUCAGGAAUGUGAGGUACUUUGAGAAUCAAAUAAACUGGGAAGGAGAGUUUAUUAACUGGAACUGGGCGAAGAUAGAUAUGGUCAUUCUCCAGACUGAGAAGAGGUGUGAUGUGUGUCUUGACCUCUGGCCUGACCACCACUGUAAGACUGAGAGAAAGUUCUACGGUGGAGAAACCCAAGCAGGCGUUUACCUGGCACAUCCCUUCCUUGACAAGCUGUGGUGGCACCCAAGGGAGCUGGACUGUCUGUUUCACACCGAACCCCAUCCACAAACUGAGACCCAAGGGCUUACAAUGAUGUUUUCUCCCUCUAUCCACAUUUACCUGCAAUGUUCAUCCCCUGGUAAUGAGGAACAAUCAGAGGGAUAUAGUGGGUGGAGGGAGAAUGUCAAACUAUAAUAGUUUUAUUGUCCCUCCACCCCACCAUUCCGAUUGAUGAGGUGUCUUGGCCCAACUGUGACAUCCUACAGUGUUGAGGGACAGGCACAGGGGCUGGAGCACUGCUCUGCCAUGAAGGCCAGCUGGGUCCUCUCAAAGAUGCUACUCAGACAGCAUAGUGUGAGGGAGGAAUGUAGAACAUUGCUUGUUAAGUUUAUACCCUUAAUUUCAGAUGACAUCUGUUUGACAAUCAAUUGGACUGAGUCUGAUGGGAUCCAGCCAAGUGGAGAAGUGUCACACACGUUUACAAAAAUAUCAGGGACCGUAGUUAAGUGACAGACCUCAUUUAUUGAUUUUCAUGUGGGCUGAGUUAAAAAGAGCAAGCCCAGCUGGUUGGUGAACACUGAUGUUUAUUCUAUUGGUCACUAAAGGAUGUAAUCUACAGUGCAGAACAGUACAUUUUUCCACAAACCUACUCCAUGCUUGUUUCAUGUAUAGUAUUCUGUUGUGACGUGGUAGUAGUGUAGGAUGGAAAAUUCCAUUAAAUCCCAUGAGAGUUGGCACAUGGAAAUGCCAUUAUACACUUAGGAACACCUUCCUAAUGAGUUGCACCCCUCAAUUUGUCUGUCGGGGGAUGGACUCUACAAGGUGUUGAAAGCGUUCCACUGGGAUGUUGGCCCAUGUUGACUAAAGCUUCCCACAAUUGUGUCAAGUUGGCUGGAUGCAUUUUGGUCCACCACCGACUAUUGAUGCACAUGGGAAACUGUUGAGUGAAAAACCCAUCAGCGUUGCAGUUCUUGACACAAGCCGGUGCGCCUGGCACCUACUACCAUAACCCGUUCAAAGGCACUUCAAUAUUUUGUCUUGCCCAUUCACCCUCUGAAUGGCACUACAGUGGUAGGCUUGAUUACCAACAACGACGAGACGGCCUACAGGGAGGAGGUGAGGGCCCUCGGAGUGUGGUGUCAGGAAAAUAACCUCACACUCA